UAUAGGUCUGACAGCAAGGACAGUGACAUUCUUUUUUUUUUAAAAGGCAGCAAAUAACUUUAGAGGCCCUUUUUUUUUUUUUUUUAAGAUUUUAGUUAUUUAUUCAUGAGACACACACACACACACACACAUACACACACAGAUUGAGAGAGAGAGAGAGAGAGGCAGAGACACAGGCAGAGGGAGAAGCAGGCUCCAUGCAGGGAGCCUGACGAGCGCGAUGUGGGACUCGAUCCCAGGACUCCAGGAUCACACCCUGGGCUGAAGGCGGUGCUAAACCACUGAGCCACCCAGGCUGCCCGGAUAGUGACAUUCUUAUUUGCAAUCACAUCCCCCAGAAUCAAGCACAAUGCCUGACACCUAAUAAGUACUCAAUAAAUACCUAUGGAGUAUUUAUUGCCUUGCCUCCUGCUGGAGGAGGCCUCUCCUCCCCUAUCAUGGACAAAGUUAUGUCCUAGGAGCUUCUCAGCUGCCCAGUGAGGCAGACACAUUUACCCGACUCUAGGGAGAAGAAAGCAGACAGAGGAAGGACCCAAGAUCACUGACUGAAGACCACACAGUGAGGACCAGCCUGAGCAGCACUCCUAUCUGGACCCAGGGUACCCGAUUGUGUCCUCAUAAGUCCACAUCUGCCCCCCGGCCACCAGCUCUCAGCUCUGAAACUGGUGUCUCCAUGCCAGAGCAGUCCAGCCAAAAGAUAAAUAUGAUGGUGGGGUUGAGGAGAUGGAUUCUUCUCCAUGAGGGAUGGAACUGCACCCAAGGAUCUAGAAGAGAAAGCAGAGGGCUUCUGGACAUGCGUCGAGAGCAGGCUCUGCACAGAAUGAAAAAUGACCUACUGGAGAUGUUCAAGCACUGGCUGGGAGCAGCCCUCCCGAGAAGUGAACGAAGUGGACUCAGGCUGCUAUGUACUGCGCCACCGGGGCUGCCCAAGCUGAAGGAUUCUUGCUCAAGAGUACAUGGCUGGCAAGUGGGAGCAGAGGGAUUUGAACUCAACCUGACUCCAGAGCUCCAGUUCCCUACCUCUGCCCUGAGAGAGAGGGGAGGGUGCUGGAGCCACUGUUCAGCCUUCCUAGGGGUCCCCUCUUUUCUGGCCCUAAAGUUUCCUCACCCCUUCCAUGAAACAAAA
rnacentral:lncRNA from 1 species